rnacentral:rRNA from 1 species
UACGGAGGGUGCAAGCGUUGCUCGGAAUUACUGGGCGUAAAGGGCGCGUAGGCGGCCAACUAAGUCAGACGUGAAAUCCCUCGGCUCAACCGGGGAACUGCGUCUGAUACUGGAUGGCUUGAAUUCGGGAGAGGGAUGCGGAAUUCCAGGUGUAGCGGUGAAAUGCGUAGAUAUCUGGAGGAACACCGGUGGCGAAGGCGGCAUCCUGGACCGAGAUUGACGCUGAUGCGCGAAAGCCAGGGGAGCAAACGGG